UGUAAGCGUAUACCAAAGUUGUUGCAGUUAAAACGCUCGUAGUCGGAAUUUGGCGGUUCCGGAUGUGUGCACGUCGUGUGCGCACUUCGCGGGGAUUGCUUUUGUGGUCUUGCGUAGGAUGAGGCACUUUUAUUAGUGAACGUCCUCACGCAACCACUUUUUACUGUGAGAAAAUCAGAGUGCUCAAAGCAGGCAUUUGCCGUGAAUGUAUUAGCAUGGAAUAAUAGAAUAGGACUUGGUUCUAUUUUGUUGGUUUGUUGGGACUGAGUAAUGAUUAAGAGGGACAGCUGGGGGCAUUUGUAUUUCGGUGCUAGAGGUGAAAUUCUUAGAUUACCGAAAGACAAACUGCUGCGAAAGCGUCUGCCAAGGAUGUUUUCAUUGA
rnacentral:rRNA from 1 species